rnacentral:rRNA from 1 species
UCAGUAGCCGACCUGAGAGGGUGACCGGCCACAUUGGGACUGAGACACGGCCCAAACUCCUACGGGAGGCAGCAGUGGGGAAUAUUGCACAAUGGGGGAAACCCUGAUGCAGCGACGCCGCGUGAGCGAAGAAGUAUUUCGGUAUGUAAAGCUCUAUCAGCAGGGAAGAAAAUGACGGUACCUGACUAAGAAGCACCGGCUAAAUACGUGCCAGCAGCCGCGGUAAUACGUAUGGUGCAAGCGUUAUCCGGAUUUACUGGGUGUAAAGGGAGCGUAGACGGAUGGGCAAGUCUGAUGUGAAAACCCGGGGCUCAACCCCGGGACUGCAUUGGAAACUGUUCAUCUAGAGUGCUGGAGAGGUAAGUGGAAUUCCUAGUGUAGCGGUGAAAUGCGUAGAUAUUAGGAGG